rnacentral:ncRNA from 1 species
GUACGAAAACGGCAAACCCAUUGAAAAGUGGAGACGCAAAGCUAUAGGGGCUAAUGUGGAUAAGUACACGAUGCCAGCCAGUUGCCGAA